CUAUCCUUCAAGUCUCAGCUCAAAUCCACUUCCUCUGUGAAGCCUUCCCUCCUUCCCUCUCUGGUCUCUUAGCACAGUUCCAUUCUUUGUGCUUCCAAAGCAUUCGGUCCAUUCCACUAUCAGGACUUAUCAUGCUAUAUUUUAAUUAGCUCUUUGUAUUUCUAUGCUAUUUCUUCACUAGAUUCCUUCAGAGACUGUGUAUGAUUUGAUUCGGUCCUGUACUCCUAGUGCCCAGGACAGAGCCUGGCACAGAAAUGAUAAAAUGAGAGGGUGACAUAAGGGAAAGUCUCCCUGUUUGUGCCCCAUGGAGAUUACAGCAAUUCCAUAUGAAAACUGUUGGGGACAGCCUUUUAAAACAGCUUUAACAGCAGCCCCAGGUGUGAGCCACUGAGAUUCUCCAGAGUUUCUCAAUAGCAGAGCGCUCCGACUCCCUUCCUAUAGGGAUCAAUCAGCUGGAAAGGAACAGACAGGCACUUUCUUCAGAGGAGAGGUUACUGUUGAUCAAGGAAGAAAUUUAUACCUUUGGUGACUUGGCUGGUAAAAGGGCAGACAACAUUUAUUAAUCAACACCAUCUGGUAGAUUCUAGCAGGUGAUGGUUUGUCAUUCAAAGUCCUGAGCCAGCACCUGCCACACAAUUAAAAGCAGGAAAACAGGAAAGAAAAGAAGGAAUCGGAUACACUGAGCAUCAACUUCUCUGUGCCAGGAACCACGGUAGGCAUUUUCUCACACAUUACAUUUUACUAUUCAUUUGUUUAAUCCUAAAACAGAUAUAAUCAACCCCACUUUCGGGGAGUGAACAUAAGUUUAACGAGUUUAAGCUGUUGGCUUAGAAGUUAAGCACUUGUAAGUGAAGCUGAGAUUGCAACCCAAGUUGAGAACUAUUUUCCGCUAUUCCAAAGAUGGCCACUAAAAUUGCUACGUUUCUAGUGCCCGAGGCCAAGGCAUCAUCAUCAAAAUAGCUACCAAUUUUUGCUCAUUUAUGAUGUGUCAAGUAUUAUGCUAAGUGUCACUCCCUCUCUCAGAUAAACCUAACAACUAAUCGCUAUUAUUCUGAUAAGAAAUGGGCAUACUAUGGUUCGAAGAGGCAAAUUUGCUGGUUCACAGUUCAAUAACUAGUAAGUAAUGGAGCCAGGACUCCAAACCAGUUUGACUCAUGUUUCUGGCUUCAGGCUUCUUCCAACAUAGGUCAUUUAAACUGGCGAUUCCUCAGGUAUCUAGAACUAGAAAUACCAUUUGACCCAGCCAUCUCAUUACUGGGUAUACACUCAAAGGAUUAUAAAUCAUGCUGCUAUAAAAACACAUGCACAUGUAUGUUUAUUGUGGCCCUAUUCACAAUAGCAAAGACUUGAAACCAACCCAAAUGUCCAACAAUGAUAGACUUGAUUAAGAAAAUGUGGCACAUAUACACCAUGGAAUACUAUGCAGCCAUAAAAAAGGAUGAGUUCAUGUCCUUUGUAGAUACAUGGAUGAAACUGGAAAUCAUCAUUCUCAGCAAACUAUCGCAAGGACAAAAAACCAAACACCACAUGUUCUCACUGAUAGGUGGGAACUGAACAGCGAGAACACAUGGACAGAGGAAGGGGAACAUCACACUCCGGGGACUGUUGUGGGGUGGGGGGAGGCAGGAGGGAUAGCAUUAGGAGAUAUACCUAAUGCUAAAUGACAAGUUAAUGGGUACAGUACACCAACAUGGCACAUGUAUACAUAUGUAACAAACCUGCACAUUGUGCACAUGUACCCUAAAACUUAAAGUAUAAUAAUAAAAAAUAAAAAAUAAAAAAUAAAAAAUAUUGGCCAGGUGCAGUGUCUCACACCUGUAAUCCCAGCACUUUCAGAGGCCAAGAUGCGAAGAUCACUGGAGACCAGGAAUUUGAGACCAGCCUGGGCAACACAGCCAGACCCUGUCUCCACAAAAAAUAAAAAUUAAAUUAGCUGGGCAUGUUGGCAUUCACCCGAAGUCCCAGCUACACAGGAGGGUGAGGCAGUAGGAUCCCUUGAGCCCAGGAAUUUGAGGCUGCAGUGAGUUAUGAGCAUGCCACCGCACUCCAGUCUAGGCAACACUGUGAAACUCUGUCCCAAAAAAUAUGUAUGUACAUAUAUACAUAGGCACUAUCUGACCCAGUAAUCUCACUCCUCAGGAUCUAUCCUAGGGAUUUCAAGAGAAAAUAUCCUUAUGUCAAAAGAUGUUCAUUGUGGUAUUAUUUAAAUAGCCAAAAUGUCCAACAAAGGAGAUUAUUAAGUAAAUCAUGUGAAAUCUAUUCAGUGAAAGGGUAUGCAUCAUAAUUCAACAUGAUCGUUCUGGAGCCUACACCAUGAGAUGGUGCCUAUGACAGACUAAGUGAUCAAAGACAGAACAGUAUUUAGCCUCUGAUUAGACCAGGAGCCCAGGGGCAUCAGGACUGAACGAUAGUACAGAAAAUCAGUAAGAGUUACUUUGCUAGGGUAGUGGAAUUAUAGCUACCAUUUUCUAGUUUUUCUAGGUUUCCUUUAUUGAUCCAUUAAUGUUUGUUAAAAUUUUAUUAAAAUAUACAAACAUUUGCAUUUCAAUUCUUUCUUCAGUGUUAACACUGGGAUUUCACCUUCUGGAUCCUGGUGUCCCUAUCAGCAGCAGCCACCAGAGAACUAACCACUGGUACUCUUUUGAGUCCUCUACUCUAAUGACUGCCUGGCCCAGGAUCUCAGGCAGACAAUUCAAUUAACCUUCAUGGCAAUGAUCACUCAGACCCAGACCCCAAUCCUACCUGAUUGCAACAAGGCUACAUAUCUGGAUGUGACUCUCAGGAGGGAUUAAAUUAAAAGACACUGAAUAUUUAAGUUUAAGUAUAAUUGAAAUUUAAUAAGUCUACCAAAUUCAGAGAGGAUUUUUAAAUGCUAAUACCCAAUGCUAAAUACAGUACAGUCAUAAAAAAGAUCACCUAGAGAAACCUGAUAUAAUCUUUCUGUAGAACAAUUUGAAUAUAUCUGUACAACAGUCCUUAAAAUAUUCAUACUCUUUGGCCCAGUUAUUAUACCUCUAUCAGGAACAAUCAGUGAGGUGGGCAUGGUGGUAUGUGCCUAUAAUCCCAGCUACUCAAGAAACUGAGGUGGGAGGAUCACUUGAGCCCAGGAGUUCAGGAAUAGCCCAGGAAACAGAGUGAGACCCUGUCUCAAAAAAAACAACAAAGAAUCAGUGGAUAAAUAUUUAUGUACAAGGAUGUUUGCUGCAGAAGUCAUAAGGCAAAAAAACAGUAAAAUAAUCUAAAUGCCGUUCAAAAAAGAACUAGUUAAAUAAACUGUAAUACAUCCAAGUGAUGAAAUAUUAUGCUGGCACAAAAAAAAUUGUUUUUGAAGAACAUUCAUGACAUGGCAACAAACCAGAGAGAGAACAUUAAACUUAAAAAAACACGAUACAAAACUGUAUUUUCAACUCGAUAACAACUCUGUGUGUGUGUGUGUGUGUGUGAGAGAGAGAGAGAGAGAGAGAGAGAGGAGAAUAAAAGGACUGAAAUGCCAAAUAGAUCAAAUGAAGCUGGUCAUUUCUAGGUACUGAGAUAAUAAGUGAAAUAUUUUCUUAAGUCUUCUGUACUGAAUAUCACCCUACAACCAGACACAGCCACAUAGCCCCAAAAGCACUGUCCACUGUGUCAGAAGGGCAGGGCGGUACUCACACGGAUGGUGCAGUCUCCUUUGCUCUUCUCUCGAUGGGCUUCCUCCAGGUCCUUCUCCAGUCUCUCCCUCUCCUGCUGCAAGUCACUCAGCUCCUGGGUGAUCUUCUUAAUGCUUCUACGCAGUCUGUGGUUCUCUGUACUCUUGGUGAGGUUUUGUGAGCGCAGCGCAGCCGAAAGGGCUUUCUUUCCUGAUAGAGCAGUCUCAUAGUCUUCAGACCCCUAGAAGAGAAGGCAGAGAAGCAAGAUGAGCUAAUUUUCAUACCUCAUGAAACAAACCAAGAAACCUGGGCUCUUUUUCGCCAUGGGGGAAAAAAAGAAAAGAAAAAGAUUAACAUAGACAACAUUCAGAAACCAAAGCAAAAAUAAUAGGAAGAUUUUGGAAUAACAUAAGAUAAUGUUUCUUAUGAUGUGGAUGGUUGUACGAAAGAAGUAUUUUCUUAAAGGACCAGAAAAAAAGCACAAAUUCUCAGCUGGGCACAGUGGCUCACACCUGUAAUCCCAGCACUUUGGGAGGCUGAGGCAGAUGGAUCAUGAGGUCAGGAGUUCAAGACUAGCCUGGCCAACACGGUGAAACCCCGUCUCUGCUAAAAAUACAAAAAUUAGCCAGGCGUGGAGGUGGGUGCCUGUAGUCCCAGCUACUCGGGAAGGCUGAGGCAGAGAACUGCAUGAACCCGGAGGCGGAGGCUGCAGUGAGCCG
rnacentral:lncRNA from 1 species